UCAGGCCUAACACAUGCAAGUCGAGCGCGCCUUCGGGUGAGCGGCGGACGGGUUAGUAACGCGUGGGAACGUGCCCUUCUCUACGGAAUAGCCUCUGGAAACGGAGAGUAAUACCGUAUACGCCCUUUGGGGGAAAGAUUUAUCGGAGAAGGAUCGGCCCGCGUUAGAUUAGGUAGUUGGUGGGGUAACGGCCUACCAAGCCUACGAUCUAUAGCUGGUUUUAGAGGAUGAUCAGCAACACUGGGACUGAGACACGGCCCAGACUCCUACGGGAGGCAGCAGUGGGGAAUCUUAGACAAUGGGGGCAACCCUGAUCUAGCCAUGCCGCGUGAGUGAUGAAGGCCUUAGGGUCGUAAAGCUCUUUCGCCUGUGAUGAUAAUGACAGUAGCAGGUAAAGAAACCCCGGCUAACUCCGUGCCAGCAGCCGCGGUAAUACGGAGGGGGUUAGCGUUGUUCGGAAUUACUGGGCGUAAAGCGCGCGUAGGCGGAUUAGAAAGUUGGGGGUGAAAUCCCGGGGCUCAACCUCGGAACUGCCUCCAAAACUGCUAGUCUAGAGUUCGAGAGAGGUGAGUGGAAUUCCGAGUGUAGAGGUGAAAUUCGUAGAUAUUCGGAGGAACACCAGUGGCGAAGGCGGCUCACUGGCUCGAUACUGACGCUGAGGUGCGAAAGUGUGGGGAGCAAACAGGAUUAGAUACCCUGG
rnacentral:rRNA from 1 species